rnacentral:misc_RNA from 1 species
CACGCGUGCAUUCCUUUUCAGCUGUGCGACAAGGCUWGUAUCGUCUUGAUCGUAUAAGUGGGUUUCCUGUGUUGCAUACCUGAUCAAUGGCAUCGUCUUGAUCAAAAGUGUCUAUUUUUCGUCUGGCAAUGCACCUGCAUUGUCGGAUGAACCACGUAGCAUCCUCUUUGAUCCAUACAGUUGACGUGCUAUCGUUGAUUGUUUGGCCCAUUGAGCGGUGACUCGGUCUCUCGGAUAUGGAAGCCAAAGUGGGCAUGGGAUCGCAAGAUCUCUUUAUUGUCCUCAUUGAGCGUUCUCACUUCUCUUACAUGACCGCCUUUCACGUAUGGCUACGUCCCAGCGUGUUUGGCUACGUCGAAGAGGAAUGUUGGGCGUUCUUGCUUUUCUU